UACAGAGGGUGCAAGCGUUAAUCGGAAUUACUGGGCGUAAAGCGUGCGUAGACGGUAGCGUAAGUCGGGUGUGAAAGCCCCGGGCUCAACCUGGGAAUGGCGAUGGAUACUGGCUCGCUAGAGUGCGGUAGAGGAGAGUGGAAUUCCCCGGUGUAGCAGUGAAAUGCGUAGAGAUCGGGAGGAACAUCAGUUGCGAAGGCGGCUCUCUGGACCAGCACUGACACUGAGGCACGAAAGCGUGGGGAGCAA
rnacentral:rRNA from 1 species